UACGGAGGAUGCGAGCGUUAUCCGGAUUUAUUGGGUUUAAAGGGUGCGUAGGCGGACUGUCAAGUCAGCGGUAAAAUACGGGGGCUCAACCUCCGCCCGCCGUUGAAACUGACGGUCUUGAGUGCGCGGAAGGCAGGCGGAAUUCGUGGUGUAGCGGUGAAAUGCUUAGAUAUCACGAAGAACCCCGAUUGCGAAGGCAGCCUGCCGCAGCGUUACUGACGCUGAAGCUCGAAAGCGCGGGUAUCGAACAGG
rnacentral:rRNA from 1 species